rnacentral:rRNA from 1 species
UACGGAGGAUGCAAGCGUUAUCCGGAUUUACUGGGUUUAAAGGGUGCGUAGGCGGACAGGUCAGUCAGUGGUGAAAGCCCGCAGCUUAACUGCGGAACUGCCAUUGAUACUGCUUGUCUUGAGUACAGUUGAGGUGGGCGGAAUAUGUCAUGUAGUGGUGAAAUACUUAGAUAUGACAUAGAACACCGAUUGCGAAGGCAGCUCGCUAAACUGUUACUGACGCUGAGGCACGAAAGCGUGGGGAGCAAACAGG